rnacentral:rRNA from 1 species
UACAGAGGGUGCAAGCGUUAAUCGGAAUUACUGGGCGUAAAGCGUGCGCAGUCGGUUAUUUAAGUCGGAUGUGAAAUCCCCGGGCUCAACCUGGGAAUUGCAUUCGAUACUGGAUAGCUAGAGUUCGGCAGAGGGAAGCGGAAUUUCGGGUGUAGCGGUGAAAUGCGUAGAUAUCGUAAGGAAGACCAGUGGCGAAGGCGAGUCUCUGGACAGUUACUGACGCUGAGGCACGAAGGCCAGGGGAGCAAACGGG